rnacentral:rRNA from 1 species
UACGUAGGGCGGCAAGCGUUGUCCGGAAUUAUUGGGCGUAAAGAGCUCGUAGGCGGCCUGUUGCGUCCGCUGUGAAAUCCCGGGGCUCAACCCCGGGCCUGCAGUGGAUACGGGCUGGCUAGAGGCAGGCAGGGGAGAACGGAAUUCCUGGUGUAGCGGUGAAAUGCGCAGAUAUCAGGAGGAACACCGGUGGCGAAGGCGGUUCUCUGGGCCUGUACUGACGCUGAGGAGCGAAAGCGUGGGGAGCAAACAGG